rnacentral:rRNA from 1 species
CUGCAGCCCGAGUGGUGAUCGAUUUUAUUGAGCCUAAAGCGUCCGCAGCCGGACUAGUAAACCCUUGGGUAAAUUGGGCAGCUUAACUGUCCAAAUUCCGAGGGGACUGCUAGUCUUGGGACCGGGAGAGGUCAGAGGUACUCAAGGGGUAGGGGCUAAAUCCUGUAAUCCUUUGGGGACCACCAGUGGCGAAGGCGUCUGACCAGAACGGAUCCGACGGUAAGGGACGAAACCCUGGGGCGCGAACCGGAUUAGAUACCCGCGUAGUCC